GCUUUGUUAGCUGUCUGCUCUCUGGCGUCAAGUGAUUUCUUCCUAAACCGGCUGCCCCCAAGGAUAUAACAAGUGGCGACGAGGAUGGGAUACCGGUGCUGCCCCAGCAACAGAAGGAAGUAGAAGUCAAGUAGAUUUCCUCAUCUUGGCAAGUGGAUAUCCCAAGAGUGCACUCUGCCCUAUCACAUCAGAACUUGCCACAACACCAGCAGGUUUUUUUCCCCUAUAUACUUCAACUGAGUGGUAGGUUAAUUAGUCAGCUGACUAGUUAACUGAAUAAUUUCAACAGAGGAGGAGGAGGAAGAGUCUGCAUGGAAUCCAGUUGGAAGUUUCUAGAAGACACUGGAAGACAAGAGAAGAGAAGAUAUUGUUGCAGUGUUUUUGACUGAACAGACUAUAGAUUUUGGUCAGCCAAGACUGUAACUGAGACUCAUGUGAACUCAACCUAAGCUUUUGGGAACUCUGAGUUACUUCUCCCUGUGUUUCUCUAGCAACUGACCUGUUUAGAUUUAAUUUGUUUUCUUUAUUUAUGUUUACGUGUAACUGAGGAGAUAGUAUAUGGAUUAUGAAGUAGUCUUAUGUUAUAGAAAUUAAGUUAUUAUUUUUCUGUUUCUUUAUCAUUAUAAGAUUUUAUGAAGUUGGUAUUUAAGAAUUAAGUUACGGUAAUUCAUUUUGCUCUUUUUGGACUUAAUUGUAGGGAGGCUGACCCUGUGCAAUCCUUGCUGAAAAUCCUCAGUGACUGAAUUCUGGGUCUCCAUGUGCAUUACUAUGGGAGUUGGUUUUAGGCAGUAGGAAAAAGGCAGUGAAGUAAACUCUAGUCCACUCAAAGUUUACAAAUUGCACCUGAACAGACAAGGACUUGAGGAUUGCUCAGAGUUCACCUCUUAUUUCUUUUUGAGGAAUAUUGCAGCAGUUGCUUAUGAAAGAAUUUAGUGUUACUGAAUAUAGUAAUUGAAUUUGUACACUGUAUUAAUAUUGUUAAGAUAAUGGAAACUUGUGCACAAUUUGGGUUAGAUCACUAUGGGACCAUUUUGAUCAGUGACGUGUCCGCUCAUUGUACAGCAGAAGUUAAGAGGGCUGUUAGGAAUUUUGGUCAUGUAACUAAUAUAAGGCAGGUGAACAAAAAGAUAUGAUAUUUUUUUAAUUUGAAGACGCUGUGUCUGUGAUGCACAUAGGGAGGAACUGUGUGUUGUGGAAGCUAGAGCAGAAAUGGGAUGAGACUCAUAUUCAUUUUGAGGUUUUGCCAUUUAUAUCCACUGGUUCUGUGCCCAGAGUACCUCAGUGCAGGGAUCAGGGAUAUUCACUGUAUUUUGACACAGGGUUCAAGACUGGGACACAGGAUGUGGUUACACUUGUGGGUGAUAGACUAGGUGGUUAACAGAUUCUACACCUGUUACGGACGGAGGUCCAGUAGGAGUUUCUGCGCCUGCUGUGAGUCUCCCUCUUGACAUGCAACAUCUUUGUUAGAUCAGGUGCUGAAAUCUACCAGUGGAACUGUGACUGAUGUGGAAUUUAAACUGAAAUGUUUUUUGGUAAUUCACCCAGACCCCGUGGAGAAAUAGAUUAUUUUACCUGGUGAGCAUAAGUCAAAGUGAUAUAGAAGAUAAUGAAAUUUCUGACAUGGGUCCAAACCAUCGCAGUCGUCUUUCUUGAUUCUUCUGUAACAGCUUUAUUUCUUGCCUUAGCCAUUUUUUCUCUCUUCAUUUUUUAUUUUUGUAGUCUUUAAACUCUCAAGUAUUGUCUUCUGCCAGGUUCUAGUUCUUUGUCUCAGGGUUUGAUCUUUACCUCUUUCUCUUGUCUUCCAAUUGUCACAUUUUUUGUCUUCUCUCUUUUUAUCUUCCCAAUCUACCUUGUCAUUUAUUCUCUGUAAAUCCUCCUUGGUCAACGCAAUGAGGUCAAUAUCACCUGCGAAUCUAAAGUUAUGCUCUGUUCUACCACAUAAUAUGACUCCUCCUGUUUCAUCUCUCAAUGCUACAGCCAUUACUGCCCCCAGUACUCAGUUAAACAAAUCUGGUGAUAGCAUGCAUCCUUGUCUAACUCCUAUGGUCAUCCUGAACCAUUCCAUCUUGUGUACUCUCACCUUAUACACUGUCUUGUUGUAGAUGUUUUCUGUCAGCUUGAUCAGUUUUUUGGGCAUGCCCUACAUUCUUAUAACUUGCUACAACUCUUUCUGACAAAUGCUAUUGAAAGCCAUCUUGAAGUCCAUAAAGUAAUUGCAACAGGUUCAGUUGUGUUCUAUGUACUUCUCCAAUAUCUGUAUUAUCACAAAUAAGUGAUCUGUUGUACUUCAUCCUGGUCUGUAUCCUGUCGGUUCCUCUGUAAGUGCCACAUCUACAUAUCUCUUCAUUCACCUCAGCAAUGUCUUGGUGAAUGUUUCUCCCAGCACAUCCGGUAAUCUGAUUCCUUUGCAGUUCUUGCAUUCACUUUUACCUCCUUUUUUAUAGACUGGUUCUAUUAUCACUUUCCCCGAUUCAUUCAGCAUUUGCUCUUGUUCGUAAAUCUUGAUGGACAGUUUGUGCAUCACCUUUACUGUAUGUUCCUCACCUGCUUGCAGCACCUCUGUGGUUGUCAAUUCCCAGCACCUUUUUCUUUUAAACUUUCUAUUAGGAUCUUUAUUUCUUCUAAGAAUUUUGAUAUCUGCUGUCCCUCAUUUGUGCUGGGAAGUUUCUCCAGGACCACUUCAAUCUACUCAGGUUCUGCACAUUGUACAACUGUUCAAAAUUUCUUUCCAUUGCUUAUUCUUUGCUUGUUCAUCCUCAAUUACUUGUCCAUGAUUGUUUUUCAUCGCUGACAUCUUCACCUCAUGUCUCAUUCAGUUCUCUUAUCUUGUGAUACAACUGUGUUGUACUUCUCUUCACACAAUUUUCUGCUUUGUAUAUCCAGGUGUUUGUCUCUCUCUGCUUUCUGUUUGAUCUCUUUGGUCAGCCUUCUGUACUUAUCUCUUAGACUUACAACCUCCUAUUCUCCUUCAUCAUCCUAUGCUUGUCACGCAACUGCAGCACUUCAACCAUUAUCCAAUUGGUUUCUUUGUAGUCCAAUACUUGUUCAGUCACACUCAUAAUCCCAUUUCAUAUACUUUUACAUGUCUCGUCAACAGUCAUUUCUUCUUUCACCAAAGAUUUGCUGAGGACUUCACAUAUAUGUGUACUUUUAUAGCUGCACUGGAUUUGAUACUGAAUCUCGCUUUCAACAUAUGAGUAGAUAAAUGCCAUAAGAGGCUGGCUUACCUUUGGCUUUAGAACAAAUGUAACUCUGUCCUGGCAUCCACCAUUUUCUUUUCUUGAUGUCAUUAUCCUAUGUUCAUCAUGAUACAAUUCUCCUUCCCAACUCAUUUUGCAUAGACUGAUGAUUUCUCAUAAUGUUCAACUUAUGCAUCAUUACUGCAAGUGCUCCAGCCUGGAUCAACUUGUGAGCAGGCAUAACGCUGUCCUAACGGAUGGCUAUAAGCACAGUUGGCAAAAAGACUGUCCAUGAGCAUCACAUGGAAUUGUUUAUGGCACAGUAGUUAAGACAUUCAAAUUGCUGUCUGUUCUGAGUUAUGGGCCAGUGAAAACAAGCUAUCCGGCUAUUGAUGGAUCCACUUCCUAUAUACAUAUAUAUAUAAAAUGCUUGUUCAUCCACAUGAAGACAGUUCUGAGUCCUGGUGAAUUGGUGGUUAGUGUUUCAUGCAGCCGCACAUUGCCAUUUAUCAGUUCUUCUGGCUUCCCAUGAGAACUCUCCUGAGGUAACUGAAAUAAGGUUCUUUAUUGUAGCUGACUUUCUGAAGAACAGAACAACUUUGUGAGAACACAGUGCCCUGCAGAUUUAUGAGCGUUAAGAUGUACUGAGUGAUUGAUGUUAGAUUUUCAGAUGCUUUUUCUGGAUGUGGUGAAUUAUUGAUUGGAUUUGUUAUUCUCAGUCUCUUCACAGUUGACCCUGGGUCAAUUCAUUGUAGGGCAGGAUUUGUUUCACCAAAGUCCAUUACAGGAGUCAAAGAUGACCUUGUCUCCCCUUAAGGUCAGGUUCAGUUCUGUUUUCCAAAACAAUGUGAGAUAUUAUACAAGAAAGUAGUUUUUCCUCUAUACAAUCACAUUAAGGUACUCUUAGCAAUUCAUAUUGCUGCAGCUUAAUAAAUCAUUAUGAAGCAAUAAUUAUGUAAGCUGGUGCAACUCCUAUUGACUUCAUUAUGAUUCCUAUCCACUUACACCAGGGUUGAAUUUGGCUUAUAAUUUUAUUUUUCUUUAAAAUGCAGGGAAGGAGUGUAUGAGGGGAAGUCAGAGUAUUAUCAGGAGAAAGGCAUAGGAAGGGAAGGUAGAGGUAAUUGGUUUUGUGUCUUUCCAAUGAUUCUUCUGAAAAAGAAUGUAUCGUGUCUAUGGAUUUCAGCAUGCGUAGAAGAUAGGAAUAAGAAAAAAACAAUUUCAGGGGAAUUUUGGACAUUUCUGACCAGCUCAGAGUGGUGUCAUAUCUAUAAUAAUGGUACAUUAGUGUCCACAAAAUACACAGAUCAAACUGUUUUCUUUAUUUGUGAGUUUCAUUAUUCCAUUCCAUAAUAAAAAUAAGACAAUCCAGAAGCUAUCAGUAUAUUCGGGAAAUUAACAGAAGCCAGACUGGGAGUCAGGAAUCCUGAUACAUUUUCCUUACUCUUUACUGUUGUAUGACCUUAGGUAAGUUACUAAAGCGAAAAUUUCCCCCAAGUGUCCACAAAUGUUGAGUUUCUUGGUUUCAGGGUGCCUUAUUUAAGGCAUAUAGGGGCUCAUUAUCGGGGUGCUAAGCACCUACAGCUCCAUUUGAAGUCAGUGAAAGCUACAGGUGCUCAGUAUCUAUGAAAAUCAGAUUCUAAGUGUUUCAAGUUUAAACUCCCAAAAUUAAUGCACCCAGAAUUAGCAGACACUUCUGAAAAUUUUGGCUUAAACAUCUCUUGUGGCUCAGUUUCACACAUUUCUCAGAUUGGGAUAAUACUAACCUGACUUGGCGGGUUAUCUUGAGACUUAAUGAAUAUUAAUCAAGUACUUCAAAAUUAUCAUAAGAGAUUUACUAUAAAAGAGAAAAGUAGUAUUACCCUUCUCAGUUAAAGUCACGUGGUUUCUGACUACAUCCAGAUUACCAAGAAAAUCCAUCAUUCAGUCAGUCACUGCUGAUCGCAUACUAAAUAUAUUUAUGUACAAUUCUGACAAACUGACGGAGAUAUUGUGACACAAAGGUCUUCUGUAGAUAACUUGUUUUAAAUAACAAAAUCAUUUCCUUUUAUAUCAACUUCAUGUCACCUCAGCAAAGUAGAUGUAUUAUGCCAUUUUUGCUCAACUAUAUUGCUGAUAUGAUUAUUCUGCUUGAUUAUAAGCAUUGUUUUUAUUUUCUGUCCCCACAUUUGUUUUUCAUAGCUCAGCUCCUGCAGGAACCCUUGCUAUUUAUGUAUAGCUGGACAGCAUUGUCUAUAAAUAUAGUGUAAGGAAUACUCAUGCAUGAGUAAGGAGAUAAGCUAGAUGACCUAACCGGUCUUUUCUCUCUCUAAUUUCUAAGAUACUAUGAAUAUAAAGUGGUUCAGCUGCUCAGAUACUUUUCUUCCAUAAUCUCAUCUGUGAAAUAUAUUGUGAAGAGCUCUGGAUAGCUGUCCUAAUAAUCUGAUCAUUCAUCUUCUUUAGGAUUAUUUUCUCAUAAGAAGUAUGAGUAAUCCUGAUCCCAAAUCUUCAUGUUCCAUUUGAAAUGUAUUACUCCAGAGUUAAUUGCUCAGCAGCUUGACAGAAAUAUAUGGAUAGUAAAAUAAUUGAUGUGUAUUUCCCUAGAUCAUCAUUAUCCUCUUGCAUGUAUAGAAAUAAGAACACUCCAAUUUGCUGUGCUUCAUUUCCUCUUGGUGCAAACAGUAAUGCUAAUUCCUUAUACCAUUUGUACUGUCCUAGCUAGGUGUGUCCCUUUGCAUAGUCUUAGCCACUUCCCUGCCUUAUGUCUUCAUUCAACUUUCUCUUCAUUUCUUUUGCUUGGUGUCACUAUUGAUACAUGUUCAUCUAGAUGUCUUUUCUGCAGAGCUCCCAUUGCUCUCCUCUGCUCUCUACAAAUGCCACCUCUGUUCAUUUCUACUCUUUUCUCGUUGUGCUGAAGGACAAACAUCUGUUGUUACCUUGUCCCCAUUUGUCAUCUUGUUUUCUACCAGCUCGUUUCCCUCUAGAUUACACUAGAUUGCUGACAUUAUAUUGCCUCAUGUCUUCUAUAAUCCUAGAAAUGUAAUGGGGAUAAACAUCUCAAACAGUCACAUAAAUCUUUUUGAAGUUUCAUUCUUGGCUUUACUGCAAUUUGGAGAUCAUUUUAGGACCUUUGUCUCCUUUCACAGAACUUUCAUCCACCUCUUCACCACUGGAAAUAUCACAAUACCUGAACACUUCACUUCUCACAGGCUAUGGAUAAGAGUUGGAGUCUGUUUCUUAGUGAUUGAUUUCAUAUGCUCAGCUUUUCUUCAUGUCAUCUUCCAAGAGGGUGUUUUUUUUCAGUAAGUGAUUGCUGUUAUGAGUGUUGAUGGGAUUUGAGAUGAAACACAGUUUCAUGCUGGUAAUGAGAGCUGCUGGACUUGAGCCAGUAGCAGCUUUUAUUUUAAAUCAUUUUUUUAAUUUACUGAAUGUACCCAUGAAUAUGCCGCUUAUCUUGAGCAGCCUACUGUUUGGAUAACUUUUGUACAGCACCGGGUAGAGCACUGACAGCAGGUGUUCUUGACUAAUUUAUAGAUCUUAGAGGUUUUUCCUCUCUCAAGUUUUCUUGUGUUGAAGUUAAAGCAUUGCUCUUAAGUUAACAAAAAAUGUUUUUCUGGAUCUGCUUUCUAAUUUGGUAGCCUGUUCUGGUUAUUUAGCACUUUGCUAUAACAUGCUCCUCAGGAAAAGUUCGAAUGUUGUGCCAUAGGGUCACUAUAACUGCUAUAAAGAGUAAACAAAUACUAGCUGUAACAUCCCUUAUUUAGCCUUGGUGUGCGUAUAGAAAUUUAUCUUACUUGCACUAUCCCUUUCCAACACAUGUGAGGAGAUACAAAUCAAUAGGCAGUAACAGCCAGAUCAAUCCAAUGCUCAGGACAAAAUGCAGUUAUUUCAUGUGAGACUUCUACAAGUGAGGAAGUGACAUGCUCAGUCUCUACAGGUCUCAUAAAAUUAGACAUGCAUAGCCAUGAAAUGGCCUAUCUGUGCAUUUGUACUGUGCACCCCUGGCUGCAGUUGUACAUGCCACGAAAGCACUCUGGAUGGCUGGGGCAGCAUCAAGCACAUCCA